UACGUAGGGUGCGAGCGUUGUCCGGAAUUAUUGGGCGUAAAGAGCUUGUAGGCGGUCUGUCGCGUCUGCUGUGAAAAUCCGGGGCUCAACCCCGGACUUGCAGUGGGUACGGGCAGACUAGAGUGUGGUGGGGGAGACUGGAAUUCCUGGUGUAGCGGUGAAAUGCGCAGAUAUCAGGAGGAACACCGGUGGCGAAGGCGGAUCUCUGGGCCUUGCCUGACGCUGAGGCGCGAAAGCUAGGGGAGCGAACAGG
rnacentral:rRNA from 1 species